rnacentral:rRNA from 1 species
GCAUAUCAAUAAGCGGAGGAAAAGAAACCAACUGGGAUUACCUUAGUAACGGCGAGUGAAGCGGUAAAAGCUCAAAUUUGAAAUCUGGUACUUUCAGUGCCCGAGUUGUAAUUUGUAGAAUUUGUCUUUGAUUAGGUCCUUGUCUAUGUUCCUUGGAACAGGACGUCAUAGAGGGUGAGAAUCCCGUUUGGCGAGGAUACCUUUUCUCUGUAAGACUUUUUCGAAGAGUCGAGUUGUUUGGGAAU